rnacentral:rRNA from 1 species
AGGAUUAACGCUGGCGGCGUGCCUAACACAUGCAAGUCGAACGAGGUAGCAAUACCUAGUGGCAGACGGGUGAGUAACGCGUGGUCAACCUACCGUUGAGUGGGGGAUAACUAGCCGAAAGGUUAGCUAAUACCGCAUACGUCUCCGAGGGGCAUCCCUUGGCGAUAAAAGGAGCAAUCCGCUCGAUGACGGGACCGCGUCCCAUUAGCUAGAUGGUGGGGUAACGGCCUACCAUGGCACCGAUGGGUAGCUGGUUUGAGAGAGCGACCAGCCACACUGGGACUGAGAAACGGCCCAGACUCCUACGGGAGGCAGCAGUGAGGAAUUUUCCGCAAUGGGCGCAAGCCUGACGGAGCGACGCCGCGUGUGGGAAGAAGGCCUUGGGUCGUAAACCACUGUCGAAGGGGACGAUAAUGACGGUACCCUUGGAGGAAGCCCGGCUAACUACGUGCCAGCAGCCGC